rnacentral:rRNA from 1 species
AGCAGCCGCGGUAAUUCCAGCUCCAAUAGCGUAUAUUAAAGUUGUUGCAGUUAAAAAGCUCGUAGUUGAAUUUCGGGGUUAGUAGGUCGGUCGUGCCACUGGUAUGCACUGGUUCUACUGAUCCCUCCUUCUUGUAGAACCGUAAUGCCAUUAAUUUGGUGUUGCGGGGAAACAGGACUGUUACUUUGAAAAAAUUAGAGUGUUUAAAGCAGGCUAACGCUUGAAUACAUUAGCAUGGAAUAAUGAAAUAGGACGAUCGAUCCUAUUUUGUUGGCUUCUAGGAUUGACGUAAUGAUUAAUAGGGAUAGUUGGGGGCAUUAGUAUUCAAUUGUCAGAGGUGAAAUUCUUGGAUUUAUUGAAGACUAACUACUGCGAAAGCAUUUGCCAAGGAUGUUUUCAUUAAUCAAGAACGAAAGUUAGGGGAUCGAAGACGAUCAGAUACCGUCGUAGUCUUAACCAUAAACUAUGCCGACUAGGGAUCGGAUGAUGUUAAUUUUUUAAUGACUCA